rnacentral:rRNA from 1 species
CCUACGGGAGGCAGCAGUGAGGAAUCUUCCACAAUGGGCGAAAGCCUGAUGGAGCAACGCCGCGUGCAGGAUGAAGGCCUUCGGGUUGUAAACUGCUUUUAUAAGUGAGGAAUAUGACGGUAACUUAUGAAUAAGGAUCGGCUAACUACGUGCCAGCAGCCGCGGUCAUACGUAGGAUCCGAGCGUUAUCCGGAGUGACUGGGCGUAAAGAGUUGCGUAGGCGGUUUGUUAAGCGAAUAGUGAAACCUGGUGGCUCAACCAUACAGACUAUUAUUCGAACUGGCAAACUCGAGAGUGGUAGAGGUCACUGGAAUUUCUUGUGUAGGAGUGAAAUCCGUAGAUAUAAGAAGGAACACCGAUGGCGUAGGCAGGUGACUAGACCAUUUCUGACGCUAAGGCACGAAAGCGUGGGGAGCGAACCGGAUUAGAUACCCGGGUAGUCCACGCCGUAAACGAUGGAUACUAGCUGUUGGAGGUAUCGACCCCUUCAGUAGCGAAGCUAACGCGUUAAGUAUCCCGCCUGUGGAGUACGGCCGCAAGGCUAAAACAUAAAGGAAUUGACGGGGACCCGCACAAGCGGUGGAUCGUGUUCUUUAAUUCGAUGAUAAACGAAGAACCUUACCAGGGCUUGACAUCCAGGGAAGGUCUGCGAAAGCGGACUGUGCCUUUUGGAACCCUGUGACAGGUGCUGCAUGGCCGUCGUCAGCUCGUGUCGUGAGAUGUUUGGUUAAGUCCAUCAACGAGCGCAACCCUUGCAACUAGUUGGAUUUUUCUAGUUGGACUGCCCCGGUAACGGGGAGGAAGGAGGGGAUGAUGUCAGGUCAGUAUUGCCCUUACGUCCUGGGCUAGAAACACGAUACAAUGGCUAGUACAAUGCGCAGCGAAGCCGCGAGGUGGAGCAAAUCGCAUCAAAGCUAGUCUCAGUUCGGAUUGGAGGCUGAAACUCGCCUCCAUGAAGUCGGAAUCGCUAGUAAUCGCAGAUCAGCAAGCUGCGGUGAAUACGUUCCCGGGUCUUGUACACACCGCCCGUCAAACCAUGAAAGUGACCAACACCCGAAGUCCGAUUCGUCGGCCUAAGGUGGGGGGCAUGAUUGGGGUUAAGUCGUAACAAGGUAUCCGUACCGGAAGGUGCGGAUG